rnacentral:lncRNA from 1 species
GACGCUUUAAUUCGUGGGGAUACAUGCAAACAGGAGGACUUUUAGGGGGAGAGAACGUGGGGGUGGGGAGGGGGAGUCAAUAGGGGCGGCUAACACCAGGUGCAGCACGGAGCCACCCUGGAUCUUGUAGUCGGCCGCCGUCUUCUCGUCGUUCAUCUGCUUCCCGCUGUAGAUGAGCCGCUGCUGCUGGGGGGGGAUCCCCUCCUUCUCCUCCACGCGCUCCUUGAUGCGCUCCACCUUGUCGGUGGGUUCGAUGUCGAUCUCGAUCUCUUUCCCGGUCAGCGUCUUCACUUUGAUCAGCAUCGUGCCUCUGUGCCCGGCGCGCCGGAAGCGGAAGUGCGCGCAAGCCACGCCCACCCCGCUGCGCACCACUUCCUGCU